AUUGAACGCUGGCGGCAGGCCUAACACAUGCAAGUCGAGCGGAUGAAGGGAGCUUGCUCCUGUAUUCAGCGGCGGACGGGUGAGUAACGCCUAGGAAUCUGCCUGGUAGUGGGGGAUAACGUCCGGAAACGGGCGCUAAUACCGCAUACGUCCUGAGGGAGAAAGUGGGGGAUCUUCGGACCUCACGCUAUCAGAUGAGCCUAGGUCGGAUUAGCUAGUUGGUGGGGUAAAGGCCUACCAAGGCGACGAUCCGUAACUGGUCUGAGAGGAUGAUCAGUCACACUGGAACUGAGACACGGUCCAGACUCCUACGGGAGGCAGCAGUGGGGAAUAUUGGACAAUGGGCGAAAGCCUGAUCCAGCCAUGCCGCGUGUGUGAAGAAGGUCUUCGGAUUGUAAAGCACUUUAAGUUGGGAGGAAGGGCAGUAAGUUAAUACCUUGCUGUUUUGACGUUACCAACAGAAUAAGCACCGGCUAACUUCGUG
rnacentral:rRNA from 1 species